CCUGCUUCCUGGAACAGUCUGUUGCAAACCAAGAGUUUUUUUUUCUAAACACAUCAGAUAAGCAGAAAGCAUACGCUUCCCAUAAUCGACAGGCUUGCGACACCACAAACCCACUUCGCUCUCAUGAAAAGAAACAAGCCAGGGAUACAUCGUGGUGACAUGGUAGAAUAGAGUUGAUUUUGACAUCUGAACAACCUGAAACGACUUGAGGAUGCUGCCUUCUGUGCUGGGCUCUUCCUGGAAAUCAAAUGCCUUAUUUGGAAACCAAAUUAUGCGGUGGCACUGAGAGUGCAGGAGCUUGGUGAUUGCAGGUGAUGUAACAAGGUGGAAUGGUCAUUCAAAUCCGCUGUCUCUGCUGGGGGACAUAUUGGAGGCUGGGCCUGUCUGCAGAGAUGUCAAAAGGAGAAGGUGUGUUGCUGAUCCGGCCAACAAUUUCGGGCUGCGGGCCAGCGAACUGACAAGCCCAAAGAUCCAGCCAAACACCAGCAUGACCAGGCUGAGGGGCAGCAGGAUGACCACCACCUUGUCAGCCACCACAACCUUUAAAUUUACCACUGCCAGGGAUCUCUUUUUUAUGUGAACUUUUAAAUCAACUCCUGCUUCAGCCGAUGAACAAAUCCACUCACCGAGAAGGUGCCUUUCCACCUCUGACAGGCUGGACAUGUUUGCCGUGAAAGAAGGGAUGACCGAACUACUGUUUGCUCCUGAAAAUGUCAAGGGAAAAGGUUACACAUGACAGGAUAUAAAGACAGAGCUGUAGGACUCUGCACAAUUGCUCUCGGAUUCCAAGCCACAUGCUCUUUUUUCUUUGAGGUCUGCAAAUAAUUAGAUGUAGAAAUGCAACCCGUGAUUAAAUUAAUUCAACAAGUUAAGGGUGGCCUUUACAUUUCACUUCACCUGUGCAUGUGUUGACUGUUUUGCACCGUAUCAAUUGAGCCAGUGCAUUUUCCACUGCUGCCAAUUUGUCACAGGUGGCAGCUGCUUGAGACGCUUCACUGUAUGUUGCCUUAUUUCUUUCCUGGCAGCUACUUUGCGUAUCAUGGUGCGGCCACAGAUUGAACGCCUCAAGCUGCGCAGCUAACAAGCAGAUAACAUUGCAGCUGUGUCGAAGAGCAUCCUUUUCUCUUUGCAGCCUCGCCUGCAGGGGCUGAUACAGAAGUCCCCACGCAGUAGUAUCAGUUAUUACUUAGGGGGGUUAGUGGGGGGAGCUAUUAUGGGUCUAUUAUUGCACACUUAGAGGCAGCACCUGCGGUUCAUCACACUCACCAAAUCUGAAGUGAAAAAUUGAAAAAUACAUUUUAGAGCGGCUGCUAUUCAUCAUAUGACCAGGUUCCAUUGAUUCCACCAAACAUACGGCACUGGGAUGACACCUCCUCUGGGCACCAGCUAAGACCCACUUCAAAAUAAAAUACACUGACAAAUGUU